AUAGUAGGCGCAAGCGUUAUCCGGAAUUAUUGGGCGUAAAGAGCUCGUAGGCGGUUUGUCGCGUCUGCUGUGAAAUCCCGAGGCUCAACCUCGGGCCUGCAGUGGGUACGGGCAGACUAGAGUGCGGUAGGGGAGAUUGGAAUUCCUGGUGUAGCGGUGGAAUGCGCAGAUAUCAGGAGGAACACCGAUGGCGAAGGCAGAUCUCUGGGCCGUAACUGACGCUGAGGAGCGAAAGGGUGGGGAGCAAACAGGCUUAGAUACCCUGGUAGUCCACCCCGUAAACGUUGGGAACUAGUUGUGGGGUCCAUUCCACGGAUUCCGUGACGCAGCUAACGCAUUAAGUUCCCCGCCUGGGGAGUACGGCCGCAAGGCUAAAACUCAAAGGAAUUGACGGGGACCCGCACAAGCGGCGGAGCAUGCGGAUUAAUUCGAUGCAACGCGAAGAACCUUACCAAGGCUUGACAUAUACGAGAACGGGCCAGAAAUGGUCAACUCUUUGGACACUCGUAAACAGGUGGUGCAUGGUUGUCGUCAGCUCGUGUCGUGAGAUGUUGGGUUAAGUCCCGCAACGAGCGCAACCCUCGUUCUAUGUUGCCAGCACGUAAUGGUGGGAACUCAUGGGAUACUGCCGGGGUCAACUCGGAGGAAGGUGGGGAUGACGUCAAAUCAUCAUGCCCCUUAUGUCUUGGGCUUCACGCAUGCUACAAUGGCCGGUACAAAGGGCUGCAAUACCGUGAGGUGGAGCGAAUCCCAAAAAGCCGGUCCCAGUUCGGAUUGAGGUCUGCAACUCGACCUCAUGAAGUCGGAGUCGCUAGUAAUCGCAGAUCAGCAACGCUGCGGUGAAUACGUUCCCGGGUCUUGUACACACCGCCCGUCAAGUCAUGAAAGUCGGUAACACCUGAAGCCGGUGGCCUAACCC
rnacentral:rRNA from 1 species